rnacentral:piRNA from 1 species
UUGUAUUGUUUUGUGGUGUUUGCCUGUG